AUUGAACGCUGGCGGCAGGCUUAACACAUGCAAGUCGAACGAGUGGCGGACGGGUGAGUAAUGCUUGGGAAUCUAGCUUAUGGAGGGGGAUAACUACGGGAAACUGUAGCUAAUACCGAGCACCAUAGGAAGAGACCAAGUGGGAUUAGGUAGUUGGUGAGGUAAAGGAUAACUAAGCCGACGAUCCCUAGCUGGUCUGAGAGGAUGACCGGCCAAACUGGAACUGAGACACGGUCCAGACUCCGACGGGAGGCAGCAGUGGGGAAUAUUGCACAAUGGGCGCAAGCCUAAUGCAGCCAUGCCGCGUGAAUGAAGAGGGCCUUCGGGUUGUAAAGGACUUUUGUCAGGGAAGCGGUACCUGAAGAAUAAGCACCGGCUAACUACGUGCCAGCAGCCGCGGUAAUAC
rnacentral:rRNA from 1 species